GGGGGAUGCAAGCACACCAGGAAUGCCCACCAGGGUGCAGGGAUUUGGGGGCUACCUCCAAAUUCCACCUCCCAGACCUGCUUAGCCAUGCCCAGGUCCAAGAAGACUGGGGGCCACGCCUUAACAACGCGUGAGGAACGCUGGGAAGAUGCCUGGGAAUCGGCUCCUGAUUCACUUGGAAAUUCACCAGGUGAAUUUUCUUCUUGCCAGAUUUACAUUUUCUACAAAAUCCCGGCAGAAAUAAUAGAUGUCACACGCUGUAAGAAUAUCGUCUUUCUGGGAAACAUUAUGCCCCGAGAAAGCAUCUCACCCUCCCAGACCCCUGCCCUUCCGUUUUCCCGACAGAACAUCUUAAGUGGUCGUGUGCAGCCAGAGGAACACGGGGCACAGGGCCUGAGAUCUAAUUUUGGAAAUCCCCUCCAUCUAAAUAUGGGGAAACUGAGGCCCAGAACGGACCAAGCUCAUGCAGCCCCUGCUCUGGGUCUCUUGUAGUGCUGCCUUGACUGAGAUUUCCGUGGGCUGGUUGGGCCUGGCUGUCAGAGGAGAGAAGUAUCAACUCAUUAGGAUUCCUAGCAACUGGGCAGCAGCUAGAAAAUGGGAAACAGACUAGCCAGUGUGGAUGGCUGGGACAUUUUCCAUGUAACAUUAAAAUUCCUGAAUGACUAGAGCGAGAAAAAUUUAAAGACAAAGAAGGCAGCUCAUCCUUCUCCUUAAAGGAAAUUUCUAGUUAUUCAGAUUUAACCUACUCAAAUAAAAAUGUUAUUCUUACAAAUGUAUGCUUUAGUAAUUGUAUCUUUUCAGGAUGAAUAGAAGCAACUCAUACACAAAUAUCUGUCAGUUAAUGCUGUCAAAGACUUUGUUUCUGACAUGUAAGUCUUGGUCCAUCUGGAAUUUAAUGUUUGUAUAUAGAGUGAAGUAGGAAUAUAAUUUCAUUUUGUUUCCUAUAUCAAUAACCAUUAUUUUUCUAUUCUAUUUAUUGAAAAGUCCUUCCUUUCCUUGCUGAUCUGCCAUGUGAUCUACAUCACAUAUCAAAGAUUAAAUUUAUGGAGAUUUGUUUGGGAGCUCUCUAUCUGUUUCAUUGGUCAGUUUAUCAGUUAAGACCACACUGUCUUAAUUGCCACAGCUUUAUAAAAGUUCUGAUAUUUGGCAGGAUAAAUCUUUCCUCUUCUUCAAUAAUGUCUUUGAUAUUCUUGGCCCUUUCCCUUUUCCAUAUAUAUAUAUAUAUAUAUAUAUAUAUAUAUAAAAUUAUAUAAUAGAGAGAGAGACAGGGUCUCACUCUGUUGCCCAGGCUGGAGUACAGUGGUGCAAUCGUAGCUCACUGCAGACUUGAACUCCUGGGCUCAAGAGCUCCUCCUACCUCAGCCUCCCAGGUAACUAGGACUCUAGGCAUGCACCACCACAUACAGCUAUUUUUUUAAAACAUGACUAUUUCUUUUUGUAAAGAUAGGGAUCUUGCUAUGCUACCCAGGCUGGUCUCAAACUUUUGGCCUCAACCAAUCCUCCUCCCUCAGAUUCCCAAAGUGCUGGGAUUACAAGUGUGAGCUACCACACCUGGCUCUAUUUUCCAUAUUUUAAGACCAUAUUUUAAAAGCUGCUCAACCCUGCUUUUUUCUCUUGGUGCUACUUGUAACUCCCUUACUUAGCCUUGGAAAUACUGUUAGUGAAGAAAAUCUAAAGAAUAGAAAAAUAAAAUAUUUUUUUUCUUCCAAUUGCAAAAGAACAGAUGCCCUCCUGAAUCAUAAAGCUAGUUGUGAUAAAUUGGUGAACUGAGAGCCUACACAGUAGUAUUAAUUCUGUUCUAAUUUCUGCCUAACUGUGGAGUCUCAUCACAUAGUCUUAAAAGAUUAUUGCUAUGAAAUAUUCUUAUACAUGUAACCCAUAACCCCUGCAGUUGCCAUUGGUUGUCUUACCUAAUAAUCAAUUGCUCCGCUUCAUAAUAUUUAAAUUGGCAUCUCCAUUUUCCAAAAGGCAUAAAUACUAGUAUAGUUUUUUAGUUAAGCCAGAAGAAAGUCCACUUCAUUUUUUAUUUUAUUUUAUUUAUAUAUUUUUUUGAGACAGAGUCUCACUCUGUCGCCCAGGCUAGAGUGCAGUGGCGUGAUCUCGGCUCACUGCAACCUCUGCCUCCCAAGUUUAAGCAAUUCUCCUGUCUUAGU
rnacentral:lncRNA from 1 species